AUUGAACGCUGGCGGCAGGCUUAACACAUGCAAGUCGAGCGAGCGGCGGACGGGUGAGUAAUGUCUGGGAAACUGCCUGAUGGAGGGGGAUAACUACUGGAAACGGUAGCUAAUACCGCAUACCAUCAGAUGUGCCCAGAUGGGAUUAGCUAGUAGAUCGGGUAAUGGCUCACCUAGGAGACGAUCCCUAGCUGGUCUGAGAGGAGGACCAGCCACACGGGAACUGAGACACGGUCCAGACUCCUACGGGAGGCAGCAGUGGGGAAUAUUGCACAAUGGGCGCAAGCCUGAUGCAGCCAUGCCGCGUGUAUGAAGAAGGCCUUCGGGUUGUAAAGUACUUUCAGCGGGGAGGCGGUACCCGCAGAAGAAGCACCGGCUAACUCCGUGCCAGCAGCCGCGGUAAUAC
rnacentral:rRNA from 1 species